rnacentral:rRNA from 1 species
UACGUAGGGCGCAAGCGUUAAUCGGAAUUACUGGGCGUAAAGCGUGCGCAGGCGGUUGUGUAAGACAGAUGUGAAAUCCCCGGGCUCAACCUGGGAACUGCAUUUGUGACUGCACGGCUCGAGUGCGGCAGAGGGGGAUGGAAUUCCGCGUGUAGCAGUGAAAUGCGUAGAUAUGCGGAGGAACACCGAUGGCGAAGGCAAUCCCCCGGGCCUGCACUGACGCUCAUGCACGAAAGCGUGGGGAGCAAACAGG